GGCAGGAAUUAGUUUGGCAUUGAAAUCAAUUACUAGUUUAUGUAAGUAUAUACUUGGAUAUUUAUGUCCAAGUUGAGGAGAGACAUUAGAGUUGAAAUUAAACAAUUCAUAGCCAAUAGCUUGUAGAUGGCAUUUAAAAGCAGGGACAGAAUAAGCUCAUCUGAGGAAAGAAGGCAAUUAAAGAACAGGGCCAAGAGCCAAAGUGUGGCCUUAAGCCAAUACUUUGACAUCAGGUAAAGAAGAAAUGCAACAUAAGGAAUGACACUGAGCCAGGAAAAGCAGGAAGGAUGUGACCAACUGUGUCAAAUGCUGCUGAGAGGGAAAACACGAUGAAGUCCAAGAACCGACUGCAGCGUGUGGCAGGACGGCGGUCAUUGCUGCUGGUCUAAAUGAAAGUUGCUUUGUAGCAAUGCUGGAGAUGCGACCCUAAGUAGAGUGAGCUGAAGGACAUAGACACAAGCAAGGAGAACGGAGAGUUUUAGACAAUUGUUUCCAGGAGUACGGCUUUAAAGGCAGAGAAAAAGAUACGCUGGUAGAUGGUGUGUGGAAGACAUAUUGUCAAGGGACUGCUUUUUCUUUGUUUGUUUUAUUGUUUCUUUUGGGAUGGCUGAUAGCAGGCAUGCAUGUGCGUACAGCAAAGAGAGUAACCCAGAAUUGAGGAAGAAAUUGAUGCUGUGGGACAGAGGGAAUAAUUGCCAAAGCAAAGAUCUUGAGCUGCUGAGAAGAAAGGAUGACCCUAAUUUCCUUAAUGAUGCACUGCGGAUGAUUCCAGAUGUGGAUGAGGAUACACCUUCAAAGAUGUUCACUGAAUUGUUUAUAAUAGCAACGGAAAAAAAUGAAGUUUGAAAAAUGUAAAUGACCCCAAAUAGGACAAUCAUUAAAUUGUUGCUCAUAUUAUAUCAAGUAAUUUUUAAAAGUUUUCAAAAGAUAAUGAGAAGGGAAAAUUCUCAUAACUGAAAAAAAGAUUAAUUACAUAUAUAUACAAUCUAUAAUCUCUGUUUUUUAAAAUGUUUCUAGCUGUAUCUUUCUACCUGUCUCUCCCUCUCUCUUUUAGUCUGUCUUAAUACAUGCUAAAACAUUAAGAUGUCUCUUUCUGGAUAUAAGAAAUAAAGACGCAUUUUUUUUCUUUUAAUAGCUUGUUUUCUUAUUGUUUUUAAAAUGCUACUAAGGCGACCUCUCUCUAUUUGAGUCACGUGAGCAGUAUUUGAUCUCCAAAAAUACAACAGGUUAAGUGCUAAGAAUAAAACCAUCUUCAUGGAGAUUUAUUAGAUUUUCCCCUGGAAAUGUACAUCUCCGUCUGGGCACUCAGGUUUGUCAAGUAAACCUUUGUCCCUCAUUACCUGUUUUGCUUUUUCCUUCUUUUAAACCCUGAAUCUACCUCUCCAACCUCCAGCAACAGCCAUAUAGCCAGGUCGACAGGAGUUGACCGACCUGCAUCAAACACUGCCUGCUAGUCUCCCUCACACAAAACGAAGUAAAAGAGAAGAAUUCGAAGAAAGCGAUACCCCUGCAGCCACACUGGGUGCAAGCUUUGAGAAUCCUGGAGCUUUGUACAUGAGUGAACCAGAGAGAACCUGUGGUGUGCCGGGAAAACCCAUAGGCCCUGCAGAGACAUAGUGUUGAUUUUGAGUCGAGGUUCUCUCUGAGAUACUUCAUCUGUAAAAUGAGGAAUGAUACAAGUUCCCUUCCAGGGAUGUCAUGGAAUUACACAAGAGUUAUUUAAGCAUAACACUCAUGCAUGGUAGGUAAUGAAUGCUGCUAUCAUUACAUCAUUUCAGAUCCUCGUGUAGAAAAUUCAAGGCAUGUCUCCUGAUUGAGAUGGUUUAGACUUUUUAGCUAAUGCAUUAUAAAUGAUGAGAACUCACAGUGUCGUUUUCCCAGGCAGGUCAUAUUGAUCCUCUCUUGUAACAAUAUCCUUUUUUGCAAAACUUUGUUUUUUAUGCCAUAUUAUUGACACACGGAUUUUGCAAGAUGAAUAUUGAUGCUGCAGGUCCUUUUCCAUUCUUUAAAGUGCAGCUAACCAUUUUAUUUUAAUCUGAUGCUUUCAAUGCAUCAGUAAGUGUUGGUAACAAUGUAGAAUAUUUUCUAGAGAUGGGGAAAAUUAACCUGUACCAAGCAAUUUAUUGACGUUUAUAGAGAAGCAUGUGGCUGGAGCUGCAAACUCUGUUCUCCUCCUUGCAGACAGAAGGAUACCUCAGCCCCUGUGAUGGAAUGAAAGAAAGAUGGGAGCUGAUUCUAGUCCACAGAGAAGGGGAUGUGUCUCAGGCAAGUGAAACCAGAAACGAGGAGGAGACCUAAGUUAUAUUCUCAGAGAUCCAAGAAAGAAGUCAGAGCUGGAGAUCAGGGCAGCACAGGACUGCGAUGCAGCAAGAUCGACUACAGAAAUGUCUACAGAAUAUCUUAGUCCUAACAGGGAACAUGGACAAGAGGCAUGAGUGAGGAGGAUGCUCCUCUACUUUGAGCUGGCGGUGAUGAUAAAAAAAGACAGCCAUGUGAGGAGGAAACCCACCUAGGGGCUCUGUCCACUGUUCAGAGAUGGUUUAGCCUGUGUUGAUUGCCUGAAGCCAUACUUCUUCAGACUUCCUCACAUCAUCCUCAGGUCAAUGUCCUUUGAGUAGCAUUUGAGAGGUUGCCUCAAGGAAAAUAACCCAAUGGACAAAAUUUGUCCUGAACAGCAUGAGGCUUUCUUCUGUGUCCUUCUGUCCCUACUCUGAGAUGCUUCCAUGUCUUUUAUGAAAUCACAGUCUCCAGCUACUUACACAGAAUAUGGGUUGAGAAACGAGAUAGUCAUGUACACCCCAAUGUCCACUUUUACCUCCUUUGUAGCAAGCCAUCAAAGGCUUCAUCACCAAUCAGAGAGAUCAGGAAAUACUUUGGAAAAGCCAAAGAUCUGUACUUGUUAGGAUAUCUAUCCCCUAGAAGCCCAAUCCCAGUUUUGAUUUUUUAAUAGAAACUCCCUUUCUCAAAACUAUUUCUGCCCCAGUCUGUCCUUGGUUUGCAUGAGUUUGGCUACCUUUCGGUUGAAAACACUGAACCUCCCAGAAAGGAACACAUCAAGCCACCAUUGCCAAGUCCCAUCUUAGCUUAAAUUGUUCUGUCACCACUGAAGCAAACUUACAGCCAGUGGAGACAGUUAUAUCAGUAAAAGCAUGGAAAGAAAGGUCUAGUGCCAUGGUUUUCACCUUGGCUGAAUGGUCAAAGUCCCUAGAGACGAGUACAAAACACAGCUUCCUGACUGCACUCCGGACCAACUGAAUCGCAGUCUUUUUAUGGUGGAUCCUCAGCAUUUCAUUUUUAAAAAGAUCUGUGGAUAAUUUGAUGCACAGUCUAGUUUUGGGAACUCAACAUGGGAUAAAAGAGCUUGAGUAGAAAUGGCAGGAGCUAGAAAAUCAUAAGCAUAUUGGUCUCUAAUUCAAUGUUAAGCCAUGCCAUUUUCAGUGCUGGAGGAGUGAG
ensembl:lncRNA